UUGCUUCCCAUCCUCAUGGCACUACGCUGUGCCCUUCAAGAGACUAAAGCCAAGCAAAACAAUCUUUCCCUUGCCCAGGUUCCUGCUGCUGGCAGUGGGCACUGGGCCAUGUCCUCCUCUCUUUGGGAUGUGUGGAGGGGGCAGUGCAGGCUGUGGUGGGGAGGGAGUGGGGUCUUUUCUGUGAGGGUGCCGGUGCCGGGGUGCCAUGGGCCCCAUGGGGGCAGGGUGCCUGGAGGUGGGUGCAGGGUGUGGGAGCUGUGGGUGCUACAGAGAGUCCCUGGGGAAUGCCGUGCUGGGAGGUACAGGGCUGUGGGAUCCCCGGCUGUCGAGUGCAGGGGCCGGGCUCCCAGGGGUGCCAAUGGAACUCCACAACGAGCCUGUGUCCCCAGAGGUCCCCGAGCUCAGACCCUUCUGGGCAAGUGUCCGCCAAAUCCCCCGGUGUAGAAGGCACCUGUGGUGAAGAGGAGAAAUUUCUUGUUUGGAAAGAGCAGCUACGAAGGACACUGGCCGAGGCAACAGCAGAUGAGAACAUGCUGUGAAGUGUUACAUUGCGACCAUAUCAGAACAGAGACUGUUAACCGAAGGAGACUGUUAUAGAAACUGUUAAUGCAUGCACUGAAUGUAUUGUACCCCUGGUGUUACCGAGUUUUACACCAUUUUCCCCCUCACGUUUAUCCCCUGUUUUCUCAUUGGUCGAGAUUUGCUGCAACGCAGGUGUUUCCCUUCUUGGUCCCUGUUAGCCCCAUGUUCCCUCCUUCCUUCCCUGAUUGGUUAUGACCUCUGUCAGUCCCAUGCUCCUCCCCUCUUUCUAGAUCCUUCCCUACCUAACAUAAAUAGAGUGAACCACCCUUAAUAAAUGGUGAUAGCUGAUUGAAGCUACCACUGUCCUUGAACUUCAUCAGUUGUCGCGUGGUCUUUUCCUGAUCGACUAUGGCAUCCCAGUUCCUCGAACAUCCCUGUGCCCGGCACGUAGCUCGCUGGGCAGCCCCUGCCCAAAGCAGCCGGGGAGCAGGGACAGCAGCUUUCUUGAAGGAGGCCAUUAGAUUUUAUUUCUGACCUCAUUUUAUAUCCUAUGCAGGAUGGGUCUUCAUCAAUCAGAAUGGCAGCUUAGCCUUCCCUGGAUCUUCCUACUGUGACAGGACUGCUGAAAGGUCAACAUGAGAGAUGGUGGUGAAAGGAAAGCAUGCGAAGUAACUUUUCGCUUCUUCAGGCUACUUCAUAUAAAGACAUAGACUCCUGGUUGCAGCUUCACAUAUGGAGUGGAUUAGAAGUGCUGGUAAACUACAACAUCAGGAUGAGGGUUGUGUUUUAGAUGCCCAAGAAAGCAAAAGGAAACACCGAAGGUCUGAAAGAGAAUCAAGUGAAUAUUCUGACAGCAAAUCAACUUCAUAAAUGGAGAGGCAAAGAAACUGUAGGCAACGAGGAAGACAGACUAUAGGACAAGAUGUCCAAGAGGGUUAAAACUAAGAGUAUGAAGAGACAUGUUUGGCUUUUAACAGAUUAACAGGAAGGAAGUCUCACAGACUCAGAAAAAGGCCAUGCCCAUGCGCCAAAAUGUAAGCUUAUUUCAGUCAGACAAGGGAAGUCCAGUUUAAUCCAAGCUCUAGGAUUAAGCUCUAUUCUUGCCUCAAAUGGAAGACUGGCCUGGCUACACAGAGUACUUCAGAUGGAACUCAAGGAUAAAAAAAAAAUAAAUAAUGACCUUUGGAAGAAGGGGCAGGCAACUCAGGAGGACUGCAAGGAUGUUGUGAGAGUAUGCACGGAGAAAAUCAGAAGGGCCAAAGCCCAAGGAAAACCUAAUCUGGCUACUGCCAUAAACGACAAAACCAAAUGCUUUUAUAAAUACAUUAGGCACAAAAGGAGUGUGUCAGAGAUGGGAUUCAUAUCUCAACAGAUUGUUUGACUGGUGGGUUGAAUAAACCAUGUUGCCUGUGUGUGCUGGGUGGGGGGAAGAAGGGCCAGGCUUAGGUUUGGAGCCACCCCGGCUGUGCCCAUGCAGAGCACAUGGCAGGGAAAGCCAUGGGGCUCGGCUGUCAGUCAAUAAGGCCGCCUGGGG